rnacentral:lncRNA from 1 species
UUUUUGUAAUUUUAUCCCCUCCCCCCCCAUCAUCUUCCCUAUCUUCGCGUUUACCCCCUCGAGCGGCUGGAGGCAACCUUGCCCCACCGCUCCCGGGCCCGCCGAGUUUGGGGAGUUGGUGCUGGGGAUCUGGGGGUGGGGGGGGUGGGGGCGGGGCGGGGCUGCCGCACUUUGUGCGAGCCGGGCGCCCUCCCCGGGUCCCGCCCCGACUGAUGCAAUAGGCGCGGCCGCCCCGUCUGCCCCGCGGGGGCGCGCGCGCACGCAACGCACGCACCCGCCUGCCCCCUCCCCCUUCCUCCCCCCCCCGCGCCGCACGUACUUGCACUCGUGCGCGCUCCCGAGUGGACGCGCGUGCACUGCGCCCAAUCACCCCUCCCCGCGACCCCCAAUACCGCCCGAGGGGGCUCGGAGCUGGGAGGGGGUGUGUGUCUGUGGAGCGCUCUGCGCCACUCCCGGGCGACCACAGCGGCAAAAAGGGGGCCUGAGACCCCCCCUUGGGACAGGGGGGUGGUGGCCUGGCGUUCAUCCCUGCCUGGCGUGCUGGAGGGGAGAAGGAGGUGACUGGAUCCUCAGCAGGAGUAUUUGAGUCAUGGACCUGAGCAGGGCUCAUGGGAGACUUUGGGCUGGAAGAGCCACUAUCAGUGCAUCCUCAACACCAGGGUUAACACCCAUCAAUUUUCGAAUGAUAUUUUCAUCAAAUAGUGAAAGCACUGAAAAAUGAAGCUUUCGGCUGUCUGUACCAACUGUGAAGCUUCAGCUGACCAAACCUGAAGAAACACUGAACGUCAUUGUUUUCAAAAGAAAAUAUCCUGCUUCAGGAAUAUCAGCAUGUUUUCUUUCAGCAUCUUUUGAUAUUUUGACAUUUUCAUCUUUCCAUUUUAAAAUAUCAUUUUUUUUUUAAAUUUAAAAAGCACUCUACUAUUUUAAUUUGUUACCUUUUUUUUUUUUUUUAGUACCACCAAAAGAAAAUUUUCACAGUAGAACAGCACGAACAAAAUGUCUAGUCUGGUCUGCAAUAAAAUAACUCGAUUAUAUUGUAUGAAUUGUUUU